CGCAAUGGGCGCAAGUCUGACGGAGCGACGCCGCGUGACCGAUGAAGUCUUUCGGGACGUAAAGGUCUUUUAUGAGGGAGAAAGUUUUGAUAGUACCUCAUGAAUAAGGGGUUGCUAAACUCGUGCCAGCAGCAGCGGUAAUACGAGUACCCCGAGCGUUAUCCGGAAUUAUUGGGCGUAAAGGGUGUGUAGGUGGUUGUGUUAGUCUUUUGUUAAAGCCUCCGGCUCAACCGGAGAAUUGCAGAGGAAACGGCAUAACUAGAGAGUGUGAGAGGUUUGCGGAACUCAUGGUGUAGGGGUGAAAUCCGUUGAUAUCAUGGGGAACACCAAAAGCGAAGGCAGCAAACUGGCACAUUUCUGACGCUGAAACACGAAAGCGU
rnacentral:rRNA from 1 species